rnacentral:rRNA from 1 species
GCACGCCACAAUAAGGCGGAUAAGGUGCCAGAGGUGUACGACCUGUAUGCCAUGGCCCACACUGGCUCUUUCAAGAAAGUCAAGGCUUUCUCUCAGUCUGACCUCGAUGAUGCAAACAACUUCACCAACAUCUCCUCCCACAACAAGCUCGUGAGAUAUAGAGAUGAGGGGAAGGCGAGGAAAGGGGAGGACUUUAACCCGAGCCAGGGUCCCAUUGAUCCAGAGCUGGUGAUGAUAUCUGGUGGCGGGAGGUCCCAUGGCUCCAUAGCCAUUGGAGAUGGACUUAUCCGUUGUCCUAGCACUCUCCCGGAGAUCAAGGCGCGCCAGUCGAGCUCCGCUCCUGAGAUAAGGCCUCGUGAACGGCCAGUGCAACUCGCCAUCAAGGCU